GCCGCUCAUUACUCACCACGAACCGGCCAGGACAAUGGCGUAUAUGGCUAUACGACGGACUGAAUUUUAAUAUUUGUUAUUGGCAACAGGACUUGGCACGUGUAUCUAUUGAAGAAUAGCAGUGACAUGAAAGCAAUGGCAGGAGCUGAGGCAAUUUCCAAACUGAUAGUUACGUGAGUAGUUGAUAGUUGAUGCUCUCGACACCACAGUUUCAUCCCACAACAGCAGUUAAUUGGAUGUGUCUCCAGUUUUUGUUGCAUUAAUGACGGCAUUGAAGAAACAUACGUGACGUUUUGUUGGUUUGAAUAUCAACUCCGGCGAUGUGAAUGACGGAAGCAAUUGCUUGACAGUGUUGUGCAUCCAACGUGAAUUGUUAGAUGUGCUGUGUGGACUGUGGAGUUUAUGAAGCAAGAGCCAGUGGGUGAUGCAUCGUUGGCUGCAGCUGCUUCCUUUAUUAGCUGGGGAGAGUAGAGAUAAUUGAACAUGUGGGAUACAUAAGCCACGCAUGUUCGCUCAACUGUAGGUAAG